CCACUGGACACCACCAGGAACCCAGACCUGUGGCAACCAGAAGAACUAAGCCCGGCUAGUACCACAUCCUGUGGGGGGGCAGGAAGGCUAACUGAUCUGACUGAGAGCCGUGGAAAGGAGCCAGACUGUGGCGGAAGCUCUGCUGCAGACAGAUUAGUAAGUAGUUUAUCUCUUUUUUGGCCCCACAGGCCCAAGAGUUUCAGUCAGGAGACUUGGUAUGCACCCAAUGCCUUGAGUUCUAUGAGAAUUAAGGUGUGUGUGUGUGACCUGAUACAACUUCACACUAAACUCAGGCAGCUGGGAGGGCCAGGCCUCAUCAUAUAGCGUGGCCUCUUGAUUUCACAGUUGUAGAGGUAGAGCCUUCCGUCCAGAGGACCUCUCAGCUUGCCCGUUUUGGAACUAAGUCCUGUUUACUUAGUGUAUAAGGCAGCCCUUGGCUGCCAAGAAUCCUUAGGCUAAUAAUUGGACCGGUUGGAGGAUGAGCUUCUGAGUCUAUUCAUCCCCUACCCCCGGAAAAGCCUCCCCAGAGAGCUGAAGUGCCCAGGGAGCCUGUGCAGACCUCCAUGGUGGCUUUUUAUGGUCUCUGACAAGAAAGGAUGCCAAAGGAGUGAAUGCUUUCUGAGACCACUGCUUUAUUUCACUAUCGUUCGACAACAGUCAGCCCUCUCUCGGGUAGGUCUGGAAGCGUCCAUCCGUGUCUUCUCCUCGUUCUUAAUAAAAAAGGUAAUGAAGAAAAAGCCUGUGUUUUUGGAGACCUAGAAUCUUAUUGAUGCUAAUAUAAGCUUUUGACUGCGAUUUCGGGUUACGAUUAUUUCCUGCUGGCGUCUCGGUGGUCAUACAGAGAGUUCCCCACUCAGGCGGAGACGGCUGGCCACAGCUACCACCGUUGAAAACAAAAGUGUUGAAAAAUGCACCUUUUACAAUAAAAAAGUAGAAACCAA